UUCUCUCUCUCUCGUAUCCAUCUCUUCUCUACUCUCUAAUCGCUCAAAUCUUCCAGCAUCUCUCGUUCUCUUAAGUCUUCAAUCUUUUUCUCAUUCUCUGUAAUCACUUAAGUCUCCCUGCAUCGUUAUCAGUUCAUUGGAAUGAAGCUCUACGUCUCUCUGCAUCUUCUAGUUCUUACUCACUUGUUCGAGUGAAGCUAAUCAAUGCGCUGGAUGGGCUAAUUAUGACUAUAAGUUAAACAGACCAUGCAAGUCCUUCAAGUUUUCAGUGUAGAAUGUUGAUGUACAUUUACUUUUCAGCUUCAUUGUCUGUAAAUGUCUCCACAAUUUCUUGUUACGAUGAAUUUAUCAGCACAGGACAGCUAAGUGUGAGCAGCUCAUCGGAGAUUGUUCCAUGUGGAUUGAUAUCAAGUAGUACAGUGGCUAUGGUGUUUCAAUUGCAGGUGCAUCUUUGUAUGGAGGUUCGUUGCUGACCCGAGUAUCCCUCGUCUUCAUAUGAAACUGUACGCAAGAUUUUAGUAAUGUUGGUCACAAGAUUGUUGUGGCUGAAUGCAAGAGUAGCUAUAACAAUAAAUUUAUAGGAGACCACAACAUUGAUCUCCAGUAAGUCCUGUGGUGAGCGAAGGACUAACAAAGUUGUUUAGCAACUUCAACAUCAUAUGCGGAACCUCCAUGGCUUGUCCUCGUAUGGUGGGAAUGCAGCACUUCUGAAAGCAGUCCAUCCUGAAUGGAGCCCAAUAGCCAUUCUAUCUGCCAUGAUGACCACAGAAGAUUCACUUGAUACCACUCUCAAACCCAUCACAGAAAUCUUAGAUGACGAGCAAUCCACAAGUCCUCUAGCCACAGGAGAGCGGGUCACCUCAAUCCUAACAAGUCGCUUGAUCCUGGACUUGUAUAUGAUGCAAAUACAGAGGACUACGAGAAGCUUCUCUGCGGUCUGAAUUACACUAACAAGGAACCAAGAAGAUGACAAGGUUGUUUCUGACUAGUUAGCCCAGGAAGUGCAAAAGUUUGGUGAUGCCUCUUCAGCCUUCAAUCCAAGAGCUCUUCCUUAUGAUCUUAGUGUAAUUGUGUGUAAUGAUCUGUUGGGAUGUGCUACCCCCGUCUUGUGUAGCCCCUUCCGAUAUUAUCAAAAAAAAAUUGUUUGUGUA